rnacentral:lncRNA from 1 species
CGCCGCCGCCGCCGCCGCCACCCAGCAGCCGGCCGCGAGCGCGUAACGGCCCCGGCGCGCGCACUUCCCUCACUGCCGCCGACUGACCCGGACGUGCUCGGGCAGAGGGGCGGGGAGAGGCGGCCCGGCUCCGCCCCCGAGACGCAGCGAGCCAAUCGCCGCGAAGAACCGGCCGCGAGGGCCGCCUCGCACCCGCGCGACGGGAGGCGGGAAGGCUCCGGAGUGCUGGUGCGCGCGCGGCCGCGUUGCUGAGCAGGCAGUGUCCUUCUCUCCAGAUACACAGAAAGCAAUAAAUCACUACCAGGCCUCAGAUCGGAAGAGAACCAGUAACAGUUACCAGCCAGAAGCAAAUCCUAUUUUGAGAUCCAACAUAUUUCAGUGCAUUCCUCUGAGGGUACUUUCUUGCUCAAAUUCUGAAGGUGUACGGUAAGUGGGUAAUGGUGUGUAAGCAGCAAUUAAUGUCUCUGUAAAAAGUAAUUUAAUUGAACAAGUACUCGUGAACUGUAACUUUCCAGAAGUAGGUCAGAGCAUCUAGAAAAGAAAAAUAGUAUACUGUUGUAUGUUUUUCAGGUGUUCCUUUCCUUCUCUUCAACGUACCUUUUUAAGUAGCCAUUUUCUGAUACAUCAGGCUAGUUACACAGGGAGAUACUGGACUUAAUAUUCUCAACCUGAGUUGUUAAUGGAGUCUAGGCUAUAGUUCACAGGAGUAACAAGCUACCAGGCUAGAAAUACUGUAUUGCAACGUGCCUGGAAACUGUUGGUUUUGCAUGUUAAUAGAACAGUACGUAUCAUUCUC